CCUACGGGAGGCAGCAGUGAGGAAUAUUGGUCAAUGGACGAGAGUCUGAUCCAGCCAAGUAGCGUGAAGGAUGACUUCCCUAUGGGUUGUAAGCUUCUUUUAUAUGGGAAUAAAAUGUUCCACGUGUGGGAUUUUGUAUGUACCAUAUGAAUAAGGAUCGGCUAACUCUGUGCCAGCAGCAGCGGUAAUACGGAGGUUCCGAGCGUUAUCCGGUUUUAGUGGGUUUAAAGGGUGCGUAGGUGGAUUGUUAAGUCCGUGGUGAAAGUUUGCGGCCCAACCGUGAAAUUGCAGUUGAAACUGGCAGUCUUGAGGACAGUAGAGGUGGGCGGAAUUCGUGGUGUAGCGGUGAAAUGCUUAGAUAUCACGAAGAACUCCGAUUGCGAAGGCAGCUCACUGGACUGCAACUGACAUUGAGGCUCGAAAGUGUGGGUAUCAAACAGGAUUAGAUACCCCAGUAGUC
rnacentral:rRNA from 1 species